rnacentral:rRNA from 1 species
GAGAGUUUGAUCCCGGCUCAGAAUCAACGCUGGCGGCGCGCUUAACACAUGCAAGUCGAACGAGAAAGCGGGGGCAACCUCGCGAGUAAAGUGGCGUACGGGUGAGUAACACGUGGGUGAUCUACCCUUUAGUGGGGAAUAACGCUGGGAAACCGGCGCUAAUACCGCAUAAUCCCGAGAGGGGAAAGUUGAAAGACGCUGAAGGAGGAGCCCGCGGCCGAUUAGUUAGUUGGUGGGGUAAAGGCCUACCAAGGCGAAGAUCGGUAGCCGGCCUGAGAGGGCACACGGCCACACUGGCACUGAAACACGGGCCAGACUCCUACGGGAGGCAGCAGUGGGGAAUCUUGCACAAUGGGGGCAACCCUGAUGCAGCGACGCCGCGUGAGCGAUGAAGCCCUUCGGGGUGUAAAGCUCUUUCGGCAGGAACGAUAAUGACGGUACCUGCAAAAGAAGCUGCGGCUAACUACGUGCCAGCAGCCGCGGUAAUACGUAGGCAGCAAGCGUUGUUCGGAGUUACUGGGCGUAAAGAGUAUGUAGGCGGUUUGCCAAGUCCGGCGUGAAAUCUCCCGGCUCAACUGGGAGGGUGCGCCGGAUACUGGUAGGCUAGAGUGCGGGAGAGGAGAGCGGAAUUCCUGGUGUAGCGGUGAAAUGCGUAGAUAUCAGGAGGAACACCUGCGGUGUAGACGGCUCUCUGGACCGCCACUGACGCUGAGAUACGAAAGCGUGGGUAGCAAACAGGAUUAGAUACCCUGGUAGUCCACGCCCUAAACGAUGCACACUUGGUGUGGGCAGUUCAUUCUGUCCGUGCCGUAGUUAACGCGUUAAGUGUGCCGCCUGGGGAGUACGGUCGCAAGGCUGAAACUCAAAGGAAUUGACGGGGGCCCGCACAAGCGGUGGAGCAUGUGGUUCAAUUCGACGCAACGCGAAGAACCU